rnacentral:tRNA from 1 species
GGGAACGGAUGGGUGCCUGGUGGCCUCUGCGGUCUUCAAAACCGUUGCGCCCCGAUUAUUCGGGGUGGGUGGGUUCGAUUCCCACACGUUCCCGC